rnacentral:rRNA from 1 species
CCUACGGGGGGCAGCAGUGAGGAAUAUUGGUCAAUGGACGAGAGUCUGAACCAGCCAAGUAGCGUGAAGGAUGACUGCCCUAUGGGUUGUAAACUUCUUUUAUAUGGGAAUAAAAUGUUCCACGUGUGGGAUUUUGUAUGUACCAUAUGAAUAAGGAUCGGCUAACUCCGUGCCAGCAGCCGCGGUAAUACGGAGGAUCCGAGCGUUAUCCGGAUUUAUUGGGUUUAAAGGGAGCGUAGGUGGAUUGUUAAGUCAGUUGUGAAAGUUUGCGGCUCAACCGUAAAAUUGCAGUUGAAACUGGCAGUCUUGAGUACAGUAGAGGUGGGCGGAAUUCGUGGUGUAGCGGUGGAAUGCUUAGAUAUCACGAAGAACUCCGAUUGCGAAGGCAGCUCACUGGACUGCAACUGACACUGAGGCUCGAAAGUGUGGGUAUCAAACAGGAUUAGAUACCCCUAGUAGUC